rnacentral:rRNA from 1 species
ACUCCUACGGGAGGCAGCAGUGGGGAAUAUUGCACAAUGGGCGCAAGCCUGACGGAGCAACGCCGCGUGAGGGAUGAAGGCCUCUGGGCUGUAAACCUCUUUUAUCAAGGAAGAAGAUCUGACGGUACUUGAUGAAUAAGCCACGGCUAAUUCCGUGCCAGCAGCCGCGGUAAUAC